rnacentral:rRNA from 1 species
AACGAACGCUGGCGGCAGGCCUAACACAUGCAAGUCGAACGGAUCCUUCGGGAUUAGUGGCGGACGGGUGAGUAACACGUGGGAACGUGCCCUUUGGUUCGGAACAACUCAGGGAAACUUGAGCUAAUACCGGAUGUGCCCUUCGGGGGAAAGAUUUAUCGCCAUUGGAGCGGCCCGCGUCUGAUUAGCUAGUUGGUGGGGUAAAGGCCCACCAAGGCGACGAUCAGUAGCUGGUCUGAGAGGAUGAUCAGCCACAUUGGGACUGAGACACGGCCCAAACUCCUACGGGAGGCAGCAGUGGGGAAUCUUGCGCAAUGGGCGAAAGCCUGACGCAGCCAUGCCGCGUGAAAGAUGAAGGUCUUAGGAUUGUAAAAUUCUUUCACCGGGGACGAUAAUGACGGUACCCGGAGAAGAAGCCCCGGCUAACUUCGUGCCAGCAGCCGCCGUAA